ACCAGAUGUGACACUUGAUAGUACAAUGAAUCUAGACAGUAAGCAUGUUUGGAUUCGUUGUACUAUAAAGUGUCUCGUCUGGU
rfam:Oryza sativa (indica cultivar-group) chromosome 1, whole genome shotgun sequence.